rnacentral:rRNA from 1 species
CCAAUAGCGUAUAUUAAAGUUGUUGCAGUUAAAAAGCUCGUAGUUGAAUUUCGGGACCAAUAUGUCGGUCGUGCCUCGGUACGUACUGGUGUCAUUGGUUUCUCCCUUCUGAGGAUUCUUGAUGUCAUUAAUUUGGUGUCUUGGGGAAUCAGGACUGUUACCUUGAAAAAAUUAGAGUGUUUAAAGCAGGCAUACGCUUGAAUACAUUAGCAUGGAAUAAUGAAAUAGGACGUUCGAUUCUAUUUUGUUGGUUUCUAGGAUCGACGUAAUGAUUAAUAGGGAUAGUUGGGGGCAUUAGUAUUCAAUUGUCAGAGGUGAAAUUCUUGGAUUUAUUGAAGACUAACUACUGCGAAAGCAUUUGCCAAGGAUGUUUUCAUUAAUCAAGAACGAAAGUUAGGGGAUCGAAGACGAUCAGAUACCGUCGUAGUCUUAACCAUAAACUAUGCCGACUAGGGAUCGGAUGAUGUUAAUUUUUUAAUGACUCAUUCGGCGCCUUACG